UGUGUUGCUUACGCUCAACUAUGAUUUAUUUUUAGUUAUUCCAUUAACCAUUGUGCAAAAUAGCCAGUUACAAUUAUGUUUUCUGUUGUAUGUAUAUUGUAGGUGGUAAGUUCCGAGUAAACUGGCAUUAUAUAUGAUAUGAGAAGCAUUAAACUGUCCCGUUUUUACAUAGUUGUAACGGUCGUUAACGUUAGUCUGACCAAACCAAAUUAUACAUUUUUCUGACAGAGAUUUCACCGGUGACUAUCAAGAGCCAAGUAAAAGUAAGUUCACAAUGGAGCGGUCCCAGUGGAGUAACAUGCGCAAGCGAGCCAUAAAAAGGACAAAUGACAGAAUUUUAGAGGUACAAAGAAAUCUUUGCACAGGUGUUGUAGAGCACAAUGAGAUGGUAAGUAGUGACUUUGGUGAAGUUGUGGACCGUGAGAUGGUGAGUGAGGAUGAGGUCUCUGAAGAGGAGGGGGAUGAUGAUGAUGAUGAGGAGGAUGAUGAGGUUUCUCCUCCUUUAGAUUUGUCGACUGCUCUGUCUGGCUGGGCUGUUGAGUAUGGUGUAUCAUUAGUGGCAUUGUCUGCUCUUCUGUGUAUCCUUAGAGUGCAUCACCCCUUUCUUCCAAAGGAUGGGAGAACCCUUUUAAAAACAGCAACCAAGUACACCCUGGAAAGGUUGGCUGGUGGGGUGUUUUUCUAUUUUGGUAUUUUGAACAUGUUUCGCAAAACAUUUGAGUAUUUGUUGUCCAAAUUUCCAGAUAGAAAUGUGUUUAUGUUGCAGCUUAAUUUUGAUGGAUUGCCGCUGUUUAAGAGCUCGUCAACUCAGUUCUGGCCAGUGUUAGGCAUGUUGCGUCACAAAGAUUAUGUUUCCAGCAGGCCACUGUUAAUUGCUUUGUUCUGUGGUGAGACUAAACCCACUUCAUUGCAAGAGUAUCUUGGUGCCCUUGUUCAAGAAUUGACAAUGCUGAGAAAGGGAUUUGUCAUAGGCUCAAAAACAGUGUUUCUGAAGGUAUGUUCGGUCAUUUGUGAUGCUCCUGCUAGAGCCUUUAUCAAACAAGUGAAAGGCCAUACAGGUUAUGCAGGAUGUGAUAAGUGUGUACAGCCAGGUGUUUAUGCUCAUCACCGCAUGACAUUCCCAGAGGUAAGUGCUGCUGAUAGGACUGAUGAGUCAUUUGCGAGUGGGACAGAUGAGGAACAUCACACAGCAGUUUCCCCUCUGCUUGAAACAGGUAUCGGUAUGGUCAGUCAGUUUCCUCACGAUUAUAUGCAUUUGGUUUGUUUGGGAGUAAUGAGGAGGCUCUUAGAUUUGUGGUUUGGCAGUUCUGGCCCUCUUCGGUGUCGUCGUUCGGGUCGUGACAUGCAGGAGAUCUCUGAAAAGCUGGUAAGUUUGAAGGCAUUCGUCCCAGUUGAAUUUGCUAGGAAGCCAAGGAGUCUGGCAGAAAGACUAAGGUGGAAAGCAACUGAACUCAGGCAGUUCCUUCUGUACACCGGUCCUCUUGUUCUUAGGGGUGUGUUACCUGAGGAAAUAUAUAACAACUUUAUGUUGCUGUCAGUUGCCAUCUCGAUUUUAGCCAAUCCCCGCCUUUGUUCAGCUCUGAAUGGUUUUGCGAAGAUGUUACUUGUGUCAUUUGUGGAGCAUUUCAGUAAAUUGUAUGGUCCUGAGUUUGUUGUCUACAAUAUACAUGGGUUGAUUCAUCUUAGUGAUGAUGUAAAUAUUCAUGGUCAUUUAGAUGUGAUCUCUGGGUUUCCAUUUGAAAAUUACCUGUGUAUGUUAAAAAACAUGAUCAGGAAACCACACAGCCCUCUAACUCAGGUGAUCCGUAGAGUGUCUGAAGUUCACAACCAAAAACCUAGCGUUGAAGUUAAGUGGCCAAAAAUGCAAGUAAAAAUGGAGCAUAGAAAUGGGCCUGUACCAGACUUGUUUGAAGGGGAUGUUCUACAAUUCAGAGAACUGGUAGUGAAUGAUGUGCACGUCAGAAUUACAGAAGGAGACAAUUGUGUUCGAAUCAAUCAGAUUGUUGCUUUGGUGGAAAAUAUUAUUGUCUAUGAAGACCAGGAGUACAUCAUCUACCGUGAAUUUGCAAAGAUGGAGACAUUCUUUAAUUAUCCAAUUGAUUCUCAAGACGUAGGAGUUUUUGUAGUGUCAAAUUUGUCUUCAGAUUUAAAAUGUACAAGGCUGAAUGACGUAUUAAAAUAUUUCCGGAUGCCAUUUGGGGAACAGGGCAGUUUUGUUGUCUUUCCCCUUUUACAUCUAAAAUAACUUAACACUUCCCCCCAACCCUCAGUGUAUUUCAUAGUGAGCUUCAUUAAGACAAAUGAAGUGGAGGUGGUGCCAGGUGUGUGGGUAGAAGGAGAGGUUUGUAAAUGGCCGAACUACAAACUCGAUGCCAUGCAGAAGGCCAUCAAGAACUGUGAGAUGCCUAAGGAGACCUGGACAAGUUAUGACAUCAGGGUUCUUUACAAAGCAACUUUAGUGAGGCAAGGUUGAAACUUCGCCGGGCAGAAGAUGACACAGACCUCCAGUCAGAAGCAGAGGAGGGGAGGCCAGAAAAAAGAAAAACCA